GACAGAGGAGCCAAGCGUUGUCCGGAUUUACUGGGUGUAAAGGGUGCGCAGGCGGACUGGUAAGUCAGAGGUGAAAUCUCGUCGCUUAACGACGAAACUGCCUUUGAUACUAUCAGUCUUGAAUCCGGUAGAGAUCUGUGGAAUUCCGAGUGUAGCAGUGAAAUGUGUAGAUAUUCGGAAGAACACCAGUGGCGAAGGCAGCAGAUUGGGCCGGUAUUGACGCUCAGGCACGAAAGCAUGGGGAUCAAACAGG
rnacentral:rRNA from 1 species